AUUAGCAUGAUUUCUUUUUAAUAUGUUGUGUACAGACUUAAUUACUUCUCUGUCUACUUUUCUUACUCCAUGUAGGUUUCCCAGAGACUAUGGGUUGAGGAGGAAUUGGAAGUUUGUCGGCUUAGACCUGGUGUCAUUCCAUCAGUGUUAAACUUCCCGGCUCAUCUUGGAAGAGUACGUGCCAGAAAGACCACGACCAAGCAGCCUUGAGAUCUUAGGCAGCGUCUCCCUGAGGUCCCUCUCUAUCUCCCCACACAUCCACCAACCACUGGAGCACAUCUCCAAAGUUCUGCCGGGCCAGCUCAGCUUCCCCUCAGAAGAAGUUCCACCACCUGCCAGAUGAAGGAGCCUUUUGAGAGGCAGCUGGCAUCGUGAUUGGACUGUACUUUGGUCUGUUCCGGUCCAGCAUCAGCUCCAGAGACGGCAGGUGGGACGAGUCAACGGAGGCCGGGUGGACGAAGGCAUGCAGCUGAGUACAAUCCAGAAAACAACAGAGGAGGAGUGCAGCAGCCCAGAGCCAGAACAAACAGAACCAAAGAACUACAGACUCUUCACAACCUGCUCAAACUCUUGGUACAGGACCUCACCAUACGGGUCAAGAAGGUUUCUGUCUCAUUUCUACUCUGAAGCUCACCUUCUCCUGCUCAAACUGCUGACAAAUGUUUCUGCUGCUAUAAAGUCUGGCCUCCAGAACUUCCUAAAAACUCUCAAAGUCUCUUCUGCUGCAGGUUGCUUUGUAGAACUGUUCCAGAAAACCUCACUAAACCACACGGAGGGGCCUCAAGAUAGUCG
ensembl:lncRNA